rnacentral:rRNA from 1 species
ACGGGGGGAGCAAGCGUUGUUCGGAUUUACUGGGCGUAAAGGGCGGGUAGGCGGCCACCGCAAGUCAGUUGUGAAAUCUCUGGGCUUAACCCAGAAAGGUCAACUGAUACUGCGGGGCUAGAGUGCAGAAGGGGCAACUGGAAUUCCUGGUGUAGCGGUGAAAUGCGCAGAUAUCAGGAAGAACACCCGUGGCUAAGGCGGCUCUCUAGUACGGUACUGACGCUGAGACGCGAAAGCGUGGGGAGCGAACAGGA